rnacentral:rRNA from 1 species
CAGUCGUACCGACGAGAAAUCAGCCCUUCGAGUGCGAGCUUGUGGGCGUGCGUGAGUCUUUAACGGGCCUCGCUGUUUGCAAUGUUUAGUGCUUUUUUGGGUGUACUUUUUCGUAUGGUAGGCCAACGUCAGUUUCGAUCACCGUAAAUGACUGGAGG